CUCCCACUUAAAAAGAUGAGAGGCCUGUAAUUUUCAUCAUAGGUACACUUCAACUAUGACAGACAAAAUGAGAAAAAAAAAAUCCAGAAAAUCACAUUGUAGGAUUUUUAAUGAAUUUAUUUGCAAAAUAUGGUGGAAAAUAAGUAUUUGGUCAAUAACAAAAGUUUUUCUCAAUACUUUGUUAUAUACCCUUUGUUGGCAAUGACAGAGGUCAAACGUUUUCUGUAAGUCUUCACAAGGUUUUCACACACUGUUGCUGGUAUUUUGUCCCAUUCCUCCAUGCAGAUCUCCUCUAGAGCAGUGAUGUUUUGGGGCUGUUGCUGGGCAACACAGACUUUCAACUCCCUCCAAAGAUUUUCUAUGGGGUUGAGAUCUGGAGACUGGCUAGGCCACUCCAGGACCUUGAAAUGCUUCUUACGAAGCCACUCCUUCGUUGCCUGGGCGGUGUGUUUGAGAUCAUUGUCAUGCUGAAAGACCCAGCCACGUUUCAUCUUCAAUGCCCUUGCUGAUGGAAGGAGGUUUUCACUCAAAAUCUCACGAUACAUGGCCCCAAUCACACAUCACAAACACUUACUUUUUCAUACACAAAACAGAUUAAUUCAAUACUUAUUUUUGCCACAGGAGAUGAAACGUUGUCGUUUUGAGGAGUAGGAGAGCAGGCAGAGGAAGGAAGGAUUUCACCAAGUUGAUGCCAUCUGUGUAUUAUGUAAGGAAUAAACCCAGACCUUGGAAUUACCUUGGAAAUAAUGGACCACGCAGCGGGACAAGGUAAUGUACAGAAAGGCGUUUAUCCCGUUUAUACCACAGUUUCCAAAGAGAACAAUACUAAAGCACACAUUUAUCGGCAGAAAUCCUGCUGCUACUGCUACUAUGCACUGGCUUCUUAGAAAAAAUAUGUAGUGAUGUCCUAUGUUUUGUUGUAUUGUAAUUUGAAAUGUUCUAAUAAUACAACAUUUAAAUAAAUAAAUAAAAAUAUAUAUAUAAAUCUUAAAACCAACAUUAAUAUGCAGAAGUCAACAUACAAGUGUAAGUAAAAACAAAUGUAAAUAAGUUAGAAAUUGUGCUACUAAUGCACAUGACGGCUCAAACACGUAUCAUAAAAGUGAUGUUCAUGUUUGGUUAGCUUUUGGAAACGUUAGCCUGCGCACAUUACUUUUCCUGACAUCACAUUUAUACAUUGUACUUUUCGAUUUACCUGAUAUAGUAGGAUGGCUAACAUUCGAUGUCUGCGGAUGCGAUGUCUUCUUGCCAAAAUAAGAAAUGCAAUCAUAAUUGACUAGCGCUUAUAAGGCGCACACACACACAACAGUUCCAUGAUGACUAAAAGCAAGAGCGUGGGAUGAGAGUGUUUGUGAUGCAGUCGACCAUCUUUAUUUAACCAGGUAGGCCAGUUGAGAACAUGUUCUCAUUUACAACUGCGACCUGGCCAAGAUAAAGCAAAGCACAAACAACAACACAGAGUUACACAUGGAAUAAACAAGCGUGCAGUCAAUAACACAAUAUAUAUUUUUUAAGUCUAUAUACAGUUUGUGCAAAUGGCGUGAGGAGGUAAGGCAAUAAAUAGGCCAUAGUAGCGAAGUAAUUACAAUUUAGCAAAUUAACACUGGAGGGAUAGAUGGGCAGAUGAUGAUGUGCAAGUAGAAAUACUGGUGUGCAAAAGAGCAGAAAAGUAAAUAAAAACAAUAUGUGGAUGAGGUAGGUAGAUUAGAUGGGCUAUUUACAGAUGGGCUAUGUACAGCUGCAGCGAUCGGUUAGCUGCUCAGAUAGCUGAUGUUUAAAGUUAAUGAGGGAAAUAUAAGUCUCCAACUUCAGCGAUUUUUGCAAUUCGUUCCAGUCACACCUGUCCCCUCUCCUCACCUCUCGCCAGCCUUCUUUCAUCUCCACUCAUCUCCUUCAUCACCAAACCUUCCUUCUUAUCACCCCUCACCCUUAACAUCCUCAAUAUUUUCUUUUUUUCAACCCUCACCUUGUUAUCUCCUUCUCCCUCAUCUCCCUCAUCUCCAUCAUUGGAUCCAGAGACUUGAGUUUUUUUAAGAGCAUUUGUUUAUAAACAAAAUGUAGUAUUUAAAACCUCAAUGUCAGAGUAUUUUUCCUUAGGAUCAAUCCUUAUUCGAUUUGUCAUACAUUUUGAAUGAGCUUUCUCCCCUCUAGAACAGACCUAAGUGCCAUUUGGGCGGCAGGUAGCCAAGUGGUAAGAGCGUUGGGCCAGUAACCGAAAGGUUGCUGGAUUGAAUCCCCGAGUUGACAAGGUAAGAAUCUGUCGUUCUGCCCCUAAGCAAGGCAGUUAACCCACUGUUCCCCGGGGGCCGAAGACAUGGAUGUCGAUUAAGGUAGCCCCCCGCACCUCUGAUUCAGAGGGGUUGGGUUAAAUGCAGAAGACACAUUUAAGUUGAAGGCAUUCAGUUGUACAACUGACUAGGUAACCCCCUUUCCCCAUUUUACGUACGCUCUGGAGCUGAGUGGACCAGGACAACUGCCCCAUUGCCAACAUGAUAAAUGUCCACAGGGGCAAUGUCCUAAACAGACGCCUGCAUGCGUUUCAACACAAAAACUUUAAUACAGGGGCUAAGAUGGACGUUGCCGUUGUGGAUGCUGAGUCCAAGGUGGAGGGGGCAGUUGACCAAUGGGGUCCCUCCAGGGAGCAUGAGGGACAUCAGAGAAUCGGCCAUCUUCGAGGGUCCGGAAGGAGCGAAACGUAUGCCGCUUGAUGUCCAUGGUAAGCCUUCUCGUUUCUUUUUACCUGUAUUAAGGUCUGAUUUUCAUUGUCAAAUACAGAAUUUAAGCCAAAACAUUUUGUGAAGAGGCUUUUUCAAGUGCUUUGUCCAGGGAAAUAUAUCAUAGGGAUAGUAAAGCUGGCACACAUUUUAAAUAAUAUUUUUAGCAUCACAUGAGGGCCUGUAUGGAACCAUUGGGGAAAUGAUCAGUGUGUGUGUGGUCCUUGGAGGGGUUGGGCCACACUUCUUCUCUGAGCGACUCUUCCCAGCAGUGUGUGGGAAGCCUGUUCCACCACUCAGUCUGGAGGAGGUGAGUCACACUACUCUGAAAGCACAUCGGAAAAUAUCAAAAAAUCAGAGGACCUAUCCGAGGUGAAGAACAAAUUGGAGGAAUUGGUAGACUGGCUGAGCCUACUGGGGCUGAAAAGGAUUGUUGUCAAGACAAUGGAGGACAGGGAUGGUGUGAUUGAAUUGGUGGCUCAACAAUUUGUCCAAGGGAGCAUGCAGGUGGCCUUGGAGCAGUACGUCAACUCUGUUAUAAAUCUGUGAAGUACUUGUCAUUACCUCUUCUAACAUAAGUAUUUUGAAUCGGUCCACCCUUCUAAAUCAAUACACAUCACUAUAUUGUCCUUAACACUUAUUUGUUUAAUAUUUAUACUGUCUCUAUACCAUAACAAGUUCAUAUAUGGUCUCAACUCUCUUGGGCUGCUGGAGGCAUUGGGGACAGCUUCCGAGUACUUUUUGUUGACCCCAUAAAGUCUCUCACUGCCAAGGACCUGAUGGACCUGUUUAAAGUAACCUAUUCCAUACCUGGCGGCAACCGGCGAUGGUUGGAGAACGACACCAUCUGCCGCUGGUUCAACUGGCUGGCCGAGGUGCAAGAUGUAGAAUGUCCUGUAACAGUGGUGAUGGUGUUGGAGUUUGCUACUGGGGCAACGGUGGUGCCACCCCUGGGGUUUGAGGACAUCCCGACCAUCGAAUUCCUCCACGCAGCGCGAGGGAGUCUCGCUGGGCAGCAGAAGAAAAAGUACCCAGAGGCAAACACGUGUGCUGUGACACUAAGGCUCCCUCUUCAUAGCACCUACAAUCCCUUUAGGGAAUUCAUGACCUCCGGUAUUGUGAAUUUCCCGCAUUUCGGUGUUGCAUUUGUUUUUUUUUAUGAUACAGAAUGUAUAGAAUUGUAUCCAGUAGCACUACACUAACAAUUGAGUGUUUCAAAAUGUAACUGCACAUCAACAUUUUAAGCAUUUAUCUACUGAUAGGUUUGGAUUUCUGAGUUUUAACUGGGAUUAAGUCAGGUUUUGGCCACUAGAUGCUCCCAUUGCGCCUUUUUGAACCUUUUGUUUUUCCCUUGUUCUAGUUAUUGUUUGCACCUGUGCCUCAUUUUCUUGUAGGUAUUUAAACCCUGAGUGUUCCUCAGUUCUUUGCUCUGUGUUUGUAUGUUAGCACCCAGCCCCAGCCAUGCUGUGAACAUAUAUUUCUCUAGUUGGAUUUUCCAGAGGUACUCUGAUUUUGUUCUUGUUUAUUUUUGAUUAGUCUUUUGAGGUUUGUUUUUCCCUGCUGUUCUUACCACUUUGUGGAUUUUCAUUGUAUUUUGGAGGUUAUCCAUUUUUUCUCUUGGCUUUACUUUUGACGUUGUGGAUUUAUAUUUUUUGCCUGAAGAUCUUUUACCUUGAUUAAACCACCGUCUCUAGUACUGCUGUGUCUGCCUCAUCUUCUGGGUUCUGCCGACUAUUAGUGACUGUUUCUCACACCGGGUCCUGACAGGAUUAAUCAUUAGUUAUAGGAUUAAUCAUUAGUUAUAGGAUUAGGCUUCCUGCCUAGCAAUAACAUGCAAUGUUUAGCGAUAAGGAGGAGACUCCACCCAAAGUGGGGUAUGUAUACUACCACGGGUGAAACCAUGUCUUGGUCAAUUCAGCUGUUCGA